rnacentral:lncRNA from 1 species
GCCUUAGAGACCAGGCAGUGAGGUCGUGUUUGGGGCGGUCCAUCGGGCUGAGCUGUGUUGUCCCCAGGAUCAUUCUGUGGAAACAGUGGCACGUGGCUCUGGAGACUUGGUCAUCAAAGGCAUCUUCCAACUUGCUGUCCCGUGGAUCACUUACUCUGGGAAGCCAGCUGCCAUCCAGGAGGAUUUCCGAGUUGGGAACUGAGGACGCCCACCCAGAGCCAGGACAGCUUGCCAGAUACCUGAGUGAGUUGCUUAGAAGUGGAUCUUGGGCAAGCCUGCCGACGACAUUCUGAGCCAAGAUCUUUAUUGCAGCUUCAAGAGAGAACCUGAGAGUGUUCUCAGAGAGAGUGACCAGC